GAUGAACGCUGGCGGCGUGCCUAAUACAUGCAAGUCGAGCGAACGGACGAUAAGCUUGCUGCUUUGUCGUUAGCGGCGGACGGGUGAGUAACACGUGGAUAACCUACCUAUAAGUCUGGGAUAACUUCGGGAAACCGGCGCUAAUACCGGAUAAUAUUUUGAACCGCAUUGUUCAAUAGUGAAAUACGGUCUUGCUGUCUCUUAUAGAUGGAUCCGGGCUGCAUUAGCUGGUUGGUACGGUAACGGCUUACCAAGGCAACGAUGCAUAGCCGACCUGAGAGGGGGAUCGGCCACACUGGAGGGGAGACAGGGACAAGGCGCCUGAGGGAGGCAGCAGUAGGGAAUCGGACGCAGUGGGGGAAAGCAUGGCGGAGCAGCGCCGCGUGAGUGGUGAAGGCGUUGGGAUCGUAAAACUCUGUUAUUAGGGAAGAACAUAUGUGUAAGUAACUGAGGAGAUAGUGACGGUACCUAAUCAGAAAGCAACGGCUAACUACGUG
rnacentral:rRNA from 1 species